UUGCUUCCUUCUUUUGGGGCACCUGUUCCUAUUUUGGGCAGUUUGUCCAUUGGAAAGAUUUGGGGGUUUCGGAAUGUUAUGGGUUCCUCUUGAUAAGUUAUGUGAUUUUGUUUCUACCAGGUUAUAUACGACCAUGAGAAUCAUGUCUGUUGGGGCUUCAAAAACUAAAUCAACCCAAAUAUAUAACAAAAGAAGCAUGAGAGAAGUGUGAAAAUCAAGAAUGGAGUUUUCAUUUUCUGAAUUCAAGAUUCCUCUAUUUUCAGAAGAUCAAAUGAGGAACUGUCACCUUGCAGGGAACAGCUGUUUUCUGUGGCAGAUGGGAAGAAGGGAUGUGGCCAAUGACAAUUAUCCCUUAAAGCUGCCCCGGAAUUGACACGUCUCUUUGCUCCUACCUCUUUGAAUGAACUAGUCUCAUGCCCAUGCUGACUCCAAGGGGCCAAGAGAUGCAAUCCAACCAUCUGACUGGGACGAACCAGGAGCAAAGCAGGCGAGAUGUAGGACAAGUUCGUUGUCUGGAUUCAGAACCAUGGAGGGGCGGGAGUUCGGGGAUACUCCAUUUGGGAGCUAGCUGUCCUGCUUUCCCUCACCACCAGACAGGGCCACAGGAUGGCCUGGGGUUCCGGGCACUUUGGGCUGCCCAGCAAGGGUCCCCCAUAAUCCUGGCAUUUGAAUGCAGUGAAAAGUGCUGGCUUGAGAGAUCAUAGAGACAUGAAUCUUUCUUGGCGAAACAGUGACAGCGUGGCCGGGAUACCCUUUCGAGUCCCUCCCAUUGGCUUCCAAAUCAGCCUUCCCACAGACUCUGACCCUUGCACCUGUUUCCAGCUUUGCAUAGGACUUCCACAUACUACUGGGCUUUUAUUUGUGCUCUACAGCAAGUCAUUGAAUGCCCACAGGAGAAAGAACCAAAUAAUGAUCCAUUAUUUAAAAAAAUGUGUCUGUGUAUUGCUUUCCCUUCCCAGAGCGAGCACACUAGGUAUUUACAUGGAAAGUACUUAAUUACGCCCCUCGUUAAUUCUACGAACUAAAGUGUGGACACGAACACUGUCUGAUCACGUGGGUGUACGCGUUGUAAGCAUUUUAACCUGCUUUACAGGAGGGGUGGUCAGACCAUGUGCUUAUUGAAUGCCACUAGACAAUAUCCAACAGCUAAAUAUACAACAUGUCA
rnacentral:lncRNA from 1 species